rnacentral:rRNA from 1 species
AACGAACGCUGGCGGCAGGCCUAACACAUGCAAGUCGAGCGAAGCCUUCGGGCUUAGCGGCGGACGGGUGAGUAACGCGUGGGAACGUGCCCUUUGGUACGGAAUAGCCCCGGGAAACUGGGAGUAAUACCGUAUGUGGUCGAGAGACGAAAGAUUUAUCGCCAAAGGAUCGGCCCGCGUUGGAUUAGGUAGUUGGUGGGGUAAAGGCCUACCAAGCCGACGAUCCAUAGCUGGUUUGAGAGGAUGAUCAGCCACACUGGGACUGAGACACGGCCCAGACUCCUACGGGAGGCAGCAGUGGGGAAUCUUAGACAAUGGGGGAAACCCUGAUCUAGCCAUGCCGCGUGAUCGAUGAAGGCCUUAGGGUUGUAAAGAUCUUUCAGUGGGGAAGAUAAUGACUGUACCCACAGAAGAAGCCCCGGCUAACUCCGUGCCAGCAGCCGCAGUAACAC